rnacentral:rRNA from 1 species
CCUACGGGGCGCAGCAGUGGGGAAUAUUGGACAAUGGGCGAAAGCCUGAUCCAGCCAUGCCGCGUGUGUGAAGAAGGCCUUCGGGUUGUAAAGCACUUUCAGUGGGGAAGAAAGCCUUGGGGCUAAUACCCUCGAGGAAGGACAUCACCCACAGAAGAAGCACCGGCUAACUCCGUGCCAGCAGCCGCGGUAAUACGGAGGGUGCGAGCGUUAAUCGGAAUUACUGGGCGUAAAGCGCGCGUAGGCGGUCUGAUAAGCCGGUUGUGAAAGCCCCGGGCUCAACCUGGGAACGGCAUCCGGAACUGUCAGGCUAGAGUGCAGGAGAGGAAGGUAGAAUUCCCGGUGUAGCGGUGAAAUGCGUAGAGAUCGGGAGGAAUACCAGUGGCGAAGGCGGCCUUCUGGACUGACACUGACGUUGAGGUGCGAAAGCGUGGGUAGCAAACAGGAUUAGAUACCCGAGUAGUC